GUAAGUGUUUGUGUCUUUUUCUAAAAAUCAUUUUCAGUCUUUUAGGUAACAAGUUUCAGUUGUCAUGGUUACAGUUUGGUUAACAUCCACCCACAAAAAUGUUUGAACAGAAAAACUGUUUCAAAACUGAGUGAGACUUCAUUUAAAAUGUAAUUUCCUUUCUAGUGGACGUUAAACCUGUAAAUCCUGAACCAUGAAAUCAUUGCUCGAUAAUUCAAAUUUUAUUGGUCCAACGCAUCAAACGUGACUCCAACGUCACUUCCGUACGAGACGUUGCAUCCUGUAAGUGUGGAGUUUGACCGAGCGGCUGAACGACAGAUCGGUUCUAACAGUCAGUGACUUUCAGCUUUAUUUAAACCUUAAAUUUAAUCUUGUGUCGUCAGAUUUAAACUCAGGUUCAGUUAUUGAGUGAAAAUACCAACAGACUCAGACAUUUAGGACAAACUAAGAGUCAGAUGAGCAGAAACAGAGAACACGGACAUGUCUGCUGUAACUGCGUCACUCUGCUCCACUUUGCUGAUGUUCGAUGGAGUCUUCAUGUUUGUCUCUGCAGAUUUUCCACCCUGAUGACCACAGAGGCCUUUGAGGCUUCCAGACGUCCUUCACAACAACACACUGGAUGAACUGGUGAUUUACACAGGCUACUGGUUUUGUAAACUGGUGCAGGCUGCUGCUGGUUCUCAGGUUAGUCAGAGUUAUGUCGCGGUGUUGUUUGAUAAGCUGCUCGGCAGACACAGACCUCCGACCUCGGAGCUGAAGCUGAAUCAGGAAGAGGCGGAGCAGGAUGUGAGCUUGAAACUUGCUGUGGGAAACAAACUCGGUGCAGAGACAAAACAAACUUCUGAUUCAAAGACACAAACUGUUCAUACAUGACGACUGACACAUGAAACAGGUUCAGAUCUUUCCUGCCAGGAUGCUUCAAGAACUGAAGCAAUAAAACUUUCUUUCGACUUCACCUCUUCUGUUGUGACGCACUUGUUUCUGCUCGACCCCGCAGUGCAGCGCACCAAACGUCACAAUGACACAACUUCCUGUAAACCAACGUUACUGAUCCAACUGCUUUUUAAGCCUAAAUUUUAAUCUCAUGACAGACUGAGACAUUUAGAAAAAGCUAAGAGUCAGAUCAAGAACCCGGAAAUGUUUGCUGUAAUUACGUCACUCUGCUCCACUUUGAUGUUUGCCGUGUUCGUCUCUGCAGGUGAGAUUUAACUUUGACAUAAAACAGGAAGUACUGGCUGCAUAUUAAACAUAUUUCCCUGAGACUAAUUUUCAUCCUGACUGUUUCUUUGUGUGUGAGAAGGAAACAGGAGGCUGUGUGUGUCUGUGUGAUGUGUUGUAGUGUCAGGAGUCAGUAUACAGCUACAAAGCUUUUUGUUCAGUGUAUACAAACAGCUGUAGCUCCAUAAAGGCAGCAUGCAGAGACUCACAGUGUCUUAUAAUGAGUGGCUGCUUUCUC
ensembl:lncRNA